rnacentral:pre_miRNA from 1 species
AAACACCUAGGGAAUUUGUUAAAAUGCAGGCAUUGAUUUAGAAAGUCUGGGAUGCUUCCUGAGAUUCUGCAUUUCUAACAAGUUUCCAGCAGAGGCUGAU